rnacentral:rRNA from 1 species
UACGUAGGGGGCGAGCGUUGUCCGGAGUUACUGGGCGUAAAGCGCACGCAGGCGGUCCGCUAAGUUUGGCGUGACAGUUGGUGGCUUAACUGCCAAAGUGCUUCGAAAACUGACAGACUUGAGGGCUUCAGAGGGACAUGGAACUCCGGGUGGAGUGGUGAAAUGCGUAGAGAUCCGGAAGAACACCAAAGGCGAAGGCAGUGUCCUGGCUGGUACCUGACGCUCGGGGGCGAAAGCGAGGGGAGCGAACGGG